rnacentral:lncRNA from 1 species
GCCACUGCACUCCAGCCUGGGUGACAGAGCGAAACUCGGUCUCAAAAAAAUAAAUAAAAAAGAAAGAAAAGAAAUAAUAGAUCAAUCAAAGGAUUAAUAUAUAAUAUCUAGAAGAAUACCAGUAAUUUAGUAUGCAAUAAAAAUGGAGUUUUUAAUCAGUGGAGAAAAGAUGAAUUAUUCAGUAACUGGUAUUUAACUGGUACUGGGGCAACUGGCUAACUCUAUAGGAUAUUUUUAAAGUCGUAUACGAAAAUUAAUCCUAAAAGGAUUAAACUCUGAAAAGGAAGAAAGGAAGGAAAGACAGUAACAAACAGGCUUGCAAAUACUAAGAAAAAAUACAGGAAGAUGUAAAUAUUGUAAUAGGAAAUGUAAAUAUUGUAAUAGGGAAGAUCUUUAUAAAAUUGUGACACUCAAGAAAAAGAGCGUAAAAAUACUAAUGGUUCAUGAAAUUAGGAAAAUAUUUUCAACAUCGCUG